AUACAGAGGGUGCGAGCGUUAAUCGGAAUUACUGGGCGUAAAGCGCGCGUAGGCGGCUUGGUCAGUCGGAUGUGAAAGCCCCGGGCUCAACCUGGGAAUGGCAUUCGAUACUGCCAGGCUAGAGUAUGUGAGAGGGAAGUGGAAUUUCCGGUGUAGCGGUGAAAUGCGUAGAUAUCGGAAGGAACACCAGUGGCGAAGGCGACUUCCUGGCCCAAUACUGACGCUGAGGUGCGAAAGCGUGGGGAGCGAACAGAAUUAGAUACCCUAGUAGUCC
rnacentral:rRNA from 1 species